GCUGCCUGGCACAGAGGCGGGGGAAGAGGGUGGGGGUCAUGGAAUUCUCUCAACUGGGUUGCAGGUGGGUUAAUGUGCCUACGUUACCUCUUUCUAGAACGUUCUUUUAAAAAGCCCCCUGUGGGUAGCCCAUUCUUGUGCCUCUGAGUUCAUCCUGCAGACAUUCUCUGGGGCGCUACCAUUUGUCUAUGUACAGGUUUUAGUUGUGUCUUCUGUGGUUUUAACCAGCUCAAGAAGGUCUAGAGCACCCCCAAAGUGAGCCCAGCCACAAAGAGGCUAUGAAACUUAGACACACAAGAACACUAGCAGGAGGGACCCAUAGGCACACCCUCUGUCUUGUCACUGUGGUCUCAGGCAAUGCUUUGGGAAAGCACCUCAGGGCUCAGAGGUUUGACAGGUUGCAUGAAGUCAUCCGUCCAAGUCCCCCCUCCAUCCAUUCUUUUGCACCCCCACCACUGACACCCCACCCCACCCUCACGCACUACUAAAGCCAAAGGCAAGGGAAUCAUUAAAUAAACAGCGUACUGUUGGGACGUCCCAGUGACCAGUGACCCCUGUUGCGUGCUACCUGUUGAGCCCCAGUGUGGUAGGUGUGGAAACGUUAUUCACAUUUAUUUAAGGAUGAGACAACUUUAUACCCAAUUACCUGGGAAACAGAAACCUAGGAAAGGAGAGCCCAACGUCAACUUCCUGAAACUUAGAGGCUACUACGAAGCACUGUCAUUUGAUGGGAGGAGCUCCGGGACAGAGCGCUUGCCCGACACACGGGAAGCACCGGGUUCGUUCCCUAGAAUCCCCCCUCCCCGAUAUCACUUGGGGGAGCCAUCCCUUGAGUAAACAAAAGGCAGGAAGUGGAUAUUCUCAUUAUUAUUCCACGAUUCCUAGAGAACACAGAACUUUAAUAGAUGUGGGUUCCGGUUGUGGAGUAUAUGUUCUAUGAUAAUGACGGAAGGGAGGCUGCAGAGCCCCUGGGGCCGAGUGAGCCUUCUAGAAUGCCUUCUGAGUUUUCAGCACGUGGGGAGCGGUGAGUAGAUCACCCUGACAGCAGUGAGGCGAUGUGGUGCUCUCUACGGCUGAUCUGCAUCUCGAUCUGUUAUGGCGUUUGGUCUGGUUUGCUUUGUGUGAUCCCAAUGUGCACAGUGUGAUGGGCGGUGUGGGUUUAAGAUUUAUGAGUGGUUUGUUGCAUGGCAGGCAUCUCUGCUCUCUGCAUGUCUGCAGCUUUACACACACACACACACACACACACACACACACACACACAGCCCGAGAGGAUCAGAGUGGGAGGGCCGCCCUUCCUCACUGUGUCUUGUGCACAUGUCUCUCUCUGCGGUCACUUCUGAAUCACUUGCACUGUUUAGGAGAUGCCAGGUUUACAGAAAUAAGUGUUUAGAAUAAAAUAAACAAAAAUGGCUUCAAAUGAUACCAUAA
rnacentral:lncRNA from 1 species